rnacentral:piRNA from 2 species
UGCCACUGAGAUUCGAGUGAAGAAUGAGAU